GACGAACGCUGGCGGCGUGCUUAACACAUGCAAGUCGAACGGUGAACUCCGCUUGCGGGGGGAUCAGUGGCGAACGGGUGAGUAACACGUGGGCAACCUGCCCUCAGCUCUGGGAUAACUCCAAGAAAUUGGGGCUAAUACCGGAUAUGACCGCUGACCGCAUGGUCUGGUGGUGGAAAGAUUUAUCGGCUGGGGAUGGGCCCGCGGCCUAUCAGCUUGUUGGUGGGGUAGUGGCCUACCAAGGCGACGACGGGUAGCCGGCCUGAGAGGGUGACCGGCCACACUGGGCCGGAGACGCGGCCCAGACUCCUACGGGAGGCAGCAGUGGGGAAUAGUGCGCAAUGGGCGAAAGCCUGACGCAGCGACGCCGCGUGGGGGAUGACGGCCUUCGGGUUGUAAACCUCUUUCAGCAGGGACGAAGCGAAAGUGACGGUACCUGAAGAAGAAGCACCGGCCAACUACGUG
rnacentral:rRNA from 1 species